rnacentral:lncRNA from 1 species
AUACAUAUGCAAUCUACAUACUUGCUACAGUUCCUGUUUGGAACCUCUUGUAUUGCAUUGUUUAGAUUGUUGACGCCUAGAACGUACAGGGGAGGCUCUGUCCGUUCGGCGGUCUGUCGACGAGCCCGAAUCCGACCAAAUAGGCGGAGCUCGGGGCGUGACAGAUUAAAUGGUAUCAGAGCAUAAAAGAGCAUAAAAAGAGUAAUAGAAACGGUUUAGAUGGACCUAGGAGACCUAGGAUAGUAAACCGUAAGGACUUACGCUCGUGAGAGACGAGGACUUGUGACGUGUGGCGAAAGGUGAAUCGAUUGGGUCAAGUUUAGUAAACCUCUAAGACGGAUAUUUGAGGUAGAUUCAAGGUUCAGUUUAUUCUCAGCCAAGUGAGUUCAUGUUGGGUCGACACAACAUGAAACCGAGGGAUGGGAAUAAGCUUCCUUGCAUGACUUUCGCCCGAUUUGAGUCUGUACUAAUUGUUUCGUAUUCGGCCCAGAGGGUCGAGGACUGACUGAGUUGUCGUGUCGUGUUCAGGGAACAAUGGCACCGCGCAGGCGAUCUUCGUCUAGAUCGGUGCGGAAUGGGACAAGUGGUGUCCCUGAGCAAACCGAGACGAGCGGAGACUUGGAGCUUCGCGAGCAGUUGGCCACACUCGUGGGAGUGGUGAGGCAACAAACGGAUGUAAUGCAGCGUCAGCGGGAGGCUGCUUUGCGCUAAGAAGAGCGGAUUAAGAGACUCCAGGAAACGGUGGAUUAGUUAGUGACCGCACCAGUUUCGGCUCGUCGUGUACGGCCGGGAGUCGCGACGGAGGCAUUUCCGUAGGGGUCAGGUGAUCCGAUUGUUGUUAGUUCAGAGAUGGAAGCGGAAAGGGAGCGAGCUUUGGCGGCUCUAAUGACUUUCAAGAAGUUUGAUCCGCCUACUUUUGAUAGAGAGGACAUAGAUCCAUGGACUGUGGAGUCAUGGGUUGACUCCAUAGAGACUAUUUGCGAGGACUUG